rnacentral:rRNA from 1 species
UACGAAGGUCCCAAGCGUUAUCCGGAUUUAUUGGGUUUAAAGGGUGCGUAGGCGGCUUAUUAAGUCAGUGGUGAAAGCUCCAUGCUUAACGUGGAAAUUGCCAUUGAUACUGAUGAGCUUGAGUAUAUUGAAGUGGGCGGAAUGUGUCGUGUAGCGGUGAAAUGCUUAGAUAUGACACAGAACACCGAUUGCGUAGGCAGCUCACUAAACUAUAACUGACGCUGAGGCACGAAAGCAUGGGGAUCAAA